AGGCUAGAGCCUUUGGCGGCGGGAGGAGAAGGGGCUUCGUCCCACCGCCAUCUUUGCUGGAAUUGAACAGCUUGGGCUUGGAAACAGUGAGUUAAAAAAGAAAUAAGAAGGUGGCAGAAAAAAGACCACAGCAGAUUGAAAAGUGUUGGAUAGUCAUAUGCACCCAGCAUCUCAGAAUGUGACCAUGGGAAGAUAGAGGCAGAGGCUGGAGUGCUGCAUCUACAAUCCAAGGAACACUAAGGAUUGUAGGUGAUCACCAGAAGCUGGAAGAGACAAGAAAGGAUCCUUCCCUAGAGCCUUCAGAGAGAGCGUGGCCCUGCCAACACCUUGAUUUCAGACUUCUGGCCUCUAGAAUUGUGAGAGAAUAAAUUUCUGUUGUUA